rnacentral:tRNA from 1 species
GCCAACGUAGCUCAGCUGGUAGAGCAACUCCAUGGUGAAGUGUUAAUUUUGCCCACUGGACGAGAAAUCGGGCGCUACAACGUUGUACAGACGUUAUGCGCAAGAUACAGUCUAGUCCUCUCAUAAUGUCUAAUCAUCGCGCUGUUUUUCGCAGCGAAUAGACAGAAACAGAGGUUAUACACGAAGGAGUAGGUCAGCGGUUCGAACCCGCUCGUUGGCU